UCUGUGAGCUGGGGGUGGCUAACCUCCCCACUGGAAGAGGAAGGAAAUCAGCCAUGGGGAGGCCAAGUGACUUGCUCCAGAUCCACGGGUCAUAGAUUCGCUUACUCCAAGCCUUUGGGAAUGGACCUGCCCCUGAUCCCACCCUGAGAACCCUAGCAUUGAGGACGAGUCCUGUCACCAGUGGAUGCUUUGUGAAUGGUUACCUCUGAUGGCAGGUGUGACAGAGAUGGCUAACUGACCACUUAGAUUUGAGCUCCUCUCCCAUGAUAGAGUUGUUGCUGGGGAGGGACUGCCCCGCCAUUGACUUCACACAUCCGGCCCCCUUGGACCUGGGAAGGGCCAUGCAAUUAGUUCUGACCGGAGUGAAAUGCCAGGAGAUGUGAAAUACAUCACUUUGGGAUCAAGGUGGCUCUGCGGCUGGUGUGCUUUCACCGUGAACUCUCUCUCUUUGAUGGUGACCUUGGAUCCCAAGUGUUGAGAUGGUGGUUUCACAAGAAGGAGGUGAAAUGCCUCAUCGGGAACAUCUGUGUUGGAUUUUGCAUGAACA